rfam:Kibdelosporangium phytohabitans strain KLBMP1111, complete genome.
GGGGCCGUAGCGCAGAGGUCGUCGCACCGUCUAGCCUAGACUGGAGGACGCCGGUUCGAUUCCGGCCGGCCCCA